UCCAUGAAAGCGUGAUGCAAGAAAAGCUCCAGUAGGAGCAAAGUGCUUACUUGUUCUGCGUACUUGGAGAAGUUCAGGGUCUAGACCCAUGGUCCCAAUGCCAGCAGUGAGAGUGUUGUCGUCUUGUCCUCGUGGCUCCUUUCAAGCAUGAAGACCCACCCUCAAUCCAUGUCCUCUAAAGUUGCAAGAACCACCUUUUAGAGUUUACAGAAGACCACCUGAGAUACCCAGCCUUGUGACCUAAACAACCC